GACGAACGCUGGCGGCGUGCCUAAUACAUGCAAGUUGAGCGAUGAAGAUUGGUGCUUGCACCAAUUUGAAGAGCAGCGAACGGGUGAGUAACGCGUGGGGAAUCUGCCUUUGAGCGGGGGACAACAUUUGGAAACGAAUGCUAAUACCGCAUAACAACUUUAAACAUAAGUUUUAAGUUUGAAAGAUGCAAUUGCAUCACUCAAAGAUGAUCCCGCGUUGUAUUAGCUAGUUGGUGAGGUAAAGGCUCACCAAGGCGAUGAUACAUAGCCGACCUGAGAGGGUUGUCGGCCACAAUGGGACUGGGACACGGCCCCAACGCCUACGGGAGGCAGCAGUAGGGAAUCUUCGGCAAAGGACGAAAGUCUGAACGAGCAACGCCGGGUGAGUGAAGAAGGUUUUCGGAGCGGAAAACUCUGUUGGUAGGGAAGAACGUUGGUGAGAGUAGAAAGCUCAUCAAGUGACGGUAACUACCCAGAAAGGGACGGCUAACUACGUG
rnacentral:rRNA from 1 species